rnacentral:rRNA from 1 species
CCUACGGGUGGCAGCAGUGGGGAAUAUUGGGCAAUGGGCGCAAGCCUGACCCAGCAACGCCGCGUGAAGGAAGAAGGCUUUCGGGUUGUAAACUUGUUUUCUGAGGGACGAAAACAGUGACGGUACCUCAGGAAUAAGCCACGGCUAACUACGUGCCAGCAGCCGCGGUAAUACGUAGGUGGCAAGCGUUAUCCGGAUUUAUUGGGUGUAAAGGGUGUGUAGGCGGGAAAGCAAGUUAGAUGUGAAAACUCAGGGCUCAACCCUGAGCCUGCAUUUGAAACUGUUUUUCUUGAGUGCUGUAGAGGCAAUCGGAAUGCAGGGUGUAGCGGUGAAAUGCGUAGAUAUAAGGAGGAACACCAGUGGCGAAGGCGGAUUGCUGGACAGUAACUGACGCUGAGGCGCGAAAGCGUGGGGAGCAAACAGGAUUAGAUACCCCGGUAGUC